rnacentral:rRNA from 1 species
AUACAGAGGGUGCAAGCGUUAAUCGGAAUUACUGGGCGUAAAGCGCGCGUAGGCGGUUUUGUAAGUCGGAUGUGAAAGCCCUGAGCUCAACUCAGGAACUGCAUUCGAUACUGCAUAACUAGAGUAUGGUAGAGGGAAGUGGAAUUCCAGGUGUAGCGGUGAAAUGCGUAGAUAUCUGGAGGAACAUCAGUGGCGAAGGCGACUUCCUGGACCAAUACUGACGCUGAGGUGCGAAAGCGUGGGGAGCAAACAGGAUUAGAAACCCUAGUAGUCC